UAAUGGUGGGAGGAGGGGCAGAGAAAGACACAAUAAUACAUUGUUAGAGACAUUAAUAAGAGAUUUACUGGCUCUUGGUCUGACCUAUAAUAUUUGCCCUCAGAGCACAAUUGCAGGAAGAAAUCCAUGUCCUAACAACAAUGUUUUUGUAGCAGGAAAAGUGGAAAACCAUUAUCUUCAAACUCCUUUAUCAAUAAAUAGGAAGCAUCCUAUUUAUUUAUCAAUAAAUAGGAAGCAAAAAAAAUAAUUGCCGCCUCCAUUAAUUGAAUACAUUGACUCCACAGAUUGAGAAGUUUAAGGCUUUUAAGCAAGGCUGUCACUGUACUUCAGACUUACUGUCAUAAUUCACAAGAAAUUACAUGAAGAAGCAAAUCAAAGAGCUUCAGGCAUCUUAUUUGUCUAUGGUAUCUAUUUUCUGCUGGAGGCAUUCAACUUCAAGUGAUGGCAGGCGAGCCUUGGUGCCACAGUUAGGCUGCUCCUUACCAGUGCUGCACAAUCUGGCUUUAUGGAGACGAACACAUCAGAUAGGGUCAUGCCAUAUCUGUAGUAUGUUA